ensembl:lncRNA
AUGAUGGAGGGUCUCAGAGUAUUAUAUAAGUUUAUAAUGGUAUUCCACCUUUUGCAAUGGAAUGCUAGGAGUCUGAUUGCAAACGGACAAGAAUUUAAAAAAUUUGUAGUAGAGUCUGAAGUCAAAUUUGAUAUUGUUUGUAUUCAAGAAACUUGGCUACGACCUCACCUUGAUUUUAUUUUACCUGGUUAUGAGUCUGUUAGGUUUGAUAGAGAUGGAAAUCAGGGUGGAGGAUGUGCAACAUUUGUAAGGGAUGGGAUACCAUUUAGAAGAAUAGAAACUACAACAGAAAUAGAAUGUGUAAUUAUUGAAAUUUAUAAAACAGAUGGACACUUAGUAGUAAUCAACUUAUAUAACCCUUGUAAAUCACUAAGCCAAGAAACCUUAGAAGAAAUAAUGAGACAAGGAAAUGGGAAAGAAAUAUGGUGUGGAGACUUCAAUGCACAUAAUAGUCUUUGGGGAAGUAAGCAUACUGAUAGAAAUGGAGAAGCAGUGGAAGAACUGAUGGAUGUUAGGCAAUUAGUAUGUUUAAAUAAUGGAAAUGGCACAAGAAUUGACAUACGUACUAACACAAUGUCAUGUAUUGACCUCACGCUUGUUUCUAAUAAUAUGGCAAACUCUUGUGAAUGGAAGGUAAAGGGAAGUACAAGUAUUGGAAGUGAUCAUUUUCCAAUUCUUUGCUCUAUAAAUAUUGAAAUAGAUCUCCAAGAAAGGCCUAAUCAUAAGAAGUGGGACUUUGCUAAAGCUGAUUGGGUAAAAUUUAAAGAAAUUUGUUGUACUUCAGCAGAGACAAUUUCAAUGCAGGGUGAUAUUGAGGAAUGUGCAUCUGAAGUUACACAUUUAAUAUUGAAUGCAGCAUUAAAAAGCAUACCAUAUAAGGUAGUUGGGGGGAAAAGAAAAAUGGUCCCAUGGUGGAAUGAUACAUGUACAAAAGCUAUUAAAGAACGAAAUAGGGCAAUGAGAAUGUUAAGGAAUAACCUGAAUCAAGAUAAUUUAAUUAAUUAUCAGAAGAAAAAGGCUCAGGCAAGAAGAAUAAUUAAGAAGAGUAAACAAAAUGCAUGGAGGAGCUAUUGUUCUACUAUAGGGAGUGAAGUAAAAAUAGGAGAGGUGUGGUCAAUGCUAAAGAAAAUGAGUGGGAAAAAAGUGUAUGCUAAAAUACCAGUAUUAGAGGAUGAUGGAAUACUGGCAAUAACAGAUAAAGAAAAGGCAACUAUGUUGGGAAAGAAGUUUGCCAGUGUGCAUAGUGGUGACCAUUUAGAUGAUAUCCAUAGACUACAUAAAGAGAAGGUUCUUAAGGAAAAUAGGGAUGUGUAUAUUAAAAAAGAUAAUGAGGAAAGUACUAUGGAUGCAGAAAUGAAUAUGAAUGAACUAGUGAUAGUAUUAAAUGGUAUUAGGAAUACUGCUACAGGAGAAGAUCAACUGAGUUAUGUUAUGUUCCAGAAACUACCUGAAAAAGUAUUACAGAUAAUAUUACAAUUAUUUAACAAGAUAUGGGAAGAAGGUAAAAUACCCAAAAGCUGGAAGAGUGCGUUAAUAUUGCCAUUUAAUAAACCUGGGAAAAAUUCUAAUAAUGCUGGUAACUAUAGACCUAUCGCCCUAACAUCACAUCUAUGCAAGUGGAUGGAGAAGAUACUAGUUAGAAGACUUAACUACACCCUUGAACACAGAGGAUUAUUUGCACCAUAUCAAAGUGGGUUCAGAAAAGGGCGUUCCACAAUGGAU